CCCGACGGCCAUGUUUCAUUCAGAUUUUGAGAUUCGUUGGGUGCGUGUCGUUGGUGUCGCUAUUUUUGGCGCUGCUGGCGUGUUUGUGAACUAAAGUAGAGUCGCUUUUUGCGCAAGUUUACUUUUUGACAAGAUGUCAAAUGUCAUAGAGUUAAAAAGGAGCCAACUUGACUAACUAACUAGCUAACUUAUACAAGUGAACUUGCUUGAAGUAACUGUGUGCAUUGAAAUCAAUUGAAUCUUUCUGCACAGGAAUAUCCGCCCGCCUCUGAACAACGCAAGAUCCAAUUAAUUAAUCUAAAUAUGAAGAAGUAACUCAUUUUAACAAGCGCCGUACACUGGAAUCAAUCGAACUUUUAUGAUUGAUAAUAAUCAUAGUUUACUGCAGAAUGGUGGUCAAUCAACUUAAUCUAUACUUAUCAGCAAAAAUAACCAUCAAUCCUGAAACAAUAAAUCAUUCCAAUAUAAUAUUUAAAGGAGGACACAACAGCAAAGGUUUUCGUCACUUCUUCACAUCUUCAUCUCUUCAAUCAGAGGCCAAACCAAUCCAAUCCAAACGGACCUGAUCAAUCCAAAUCUACGAUGAGAGGACAUUCCAAUAAGAUGGUCUUGAGUCCAGAGAGGGGUCAAUCUCGCCCGACGCUGGACUUCUAAAUUCAACGCAUCCUCCUGCGAGAUGUGAGCUGUUAUCUCGAGGAGCGGAUUAAGGUAGGUAGUGGUGAUGCCCAUGAUCAGAAGGCUGGCGCACACAUGUCACUCUUGUAUCUGGGGGUGGCAUGUCAAACCAGUACUUGGUCAUUCGGCUAAUCCACCCAGCAUUGCUAGAAACGCCGGAUGUACAAAAGUAGUGAGUAAUUUUAUGAACUAUCGCAUGUAUCCGGGUCGCGAUUCAUUAAAUAUCAGUUCAAAUCUAUAAAUAGUCAUUCUUUCAAGUUUAACGCGAAAACUUAAUUCAUCCGCAAAUCCGUAAUUCAUCCGCGAAUCAUAAUAUUUCAACGUAAUUAAUAUUAACGUCUUAAUCUAAAGACUUUCUGAAAAUCCGAAAUAAAAAAAUCCGCGAUUUGCUUUUAUUUAAUUUGAAUUUGAACUGAUUGUAGUAUUACCGUAUUACCGCAAACAUUGCACCGCGUUUUUAAGUUUCAAUUAAGUGUUAUCGCGAACACUUUUAAAUAUUAUAUUCGAGUAAAAUCAACCGGUCUACGCACACACACACACACACACACACACACACACACACACUAUAAACACUCACAAUACACUUUUGCUCGGUUCGUUUCGGCGAAUGCGGAGUUCUUGGGUAUUUGGUGUGUCUAGGCACACCUAUUACCUUACAUUCUCAACACAACACUUACACGUUCUGUUCACGCAGAACACCACAAAUUAACACAAAUUAAUUCAAUGCAUCGCGCGCGGCAUUUUGAAGCAGAGAUUUGCAAUCUGCUUGCAAUAUAAGUAUGAAUGGCAUGCCUGUUGAAUGAAUUGUUUAUAUUUUUGGUAUGAUUGUGUUGCACUGUAUUGUAUUUCAUUUCAUUUGUGUAUGUCGUGUUAAAUUUUGGGCAACCAAAAGCCGGCUGCUGCCGCUGGGAUGUGGCAGUCGGUCACUUUUGUUUUCGUUGCAAAACCGUUUUGCAUUCCGAGCACAGAUCGCCAAACGCGUCGGUGUUAGGCGGGCACUUUUUAUUAUAAUCGGUCUGUGCUCACAAAGCUAUCUCAUGUACUUAGGUAGGGACCAAAGGCAGGUCUUAUUAAAAUAGUUUUAAGUCUCCUACUCCUCUUAGAUGUGUGAAUGAUAAAUUGUUUUAGAUAUUUGUGUACUAAUCUUUUUCCGCUUUCAGGAUAAUCGCGAUUUAGCUAUUGGUUGACAUUAGGCAGGGUUUUAGGUCCUUCCUUAUCCUUCAUAAUGUCUUUUUCUUACAGCAAUUUGUGUAUUUUUAUAUGUUUUAUUGAUAUUUGUGUUAUUAUUUAUUAUGUAUUUGUAUUGCGAGUGUGAAUGAGUUCCAAAAAUCCAAAAAAUCCUUACUAAUGAAUUAUGUUUUUCUUUCAGCAACUAAUUAAAUAUUUCUUCUAUGUUUUCAGGGCGUUUUGUUUGAAUUGAUAAUUAAUCUUUUAAUUUAUGUUGCAGGGUCCUGGAUGCUCGGCAAUCAUUGAUGUGUUCUGUGUUGUUUUGUGUUUUAUUCUUGAAUUUUACUAAUCACAAGUUUGUUCUGCUUGUUUGUUUCUACAGAUUAAUGG